rnacentral:rRNA from 1 species
GGGGAAUAUUGCGCAAUGGACGGAAGUCUGACGCAGCGACGCCGCGUGAGCGAUGAAGGCCUUCGGGUUGUAAAGCUCUGUCCUUGGGGAAGAAGGUCUUCGGACUUGACGGUACCCAAGAAGAAAGCCCCGGCUAACUACGUGCCAGCAGCCGCGGUAAUACGUAGGGGGCGAGCGUUGUCCGGAAUUACUGGGCGUAAAGGGUGCGUAGGCGGCCCUUUAAGUCAGAUGUGAAAGGCCACGGCUUAACCGUGGGAUUGCAUUUGAAACUGGAGGGCUUGAGUGUCGGAGAGGGUAGUGGAAUUCCCAGUGUAGCGGUGAAAUGCGUAGAUAUUGGGAGGAACACCAGUGGCGAAGGCGACUACCUGGACGAUAACUGACGCUGAGGCACGAAAGCUAGGGGAGCAAAC